UGCUCGUCCUCACUCGGCUGCUCUGACCUUUGAUAGAGAAGACUUAGAGAUCAUGUACCCUGCAGACAGAGAGCUUGUCUCCAACCUAAUCUGUCCUGAGGCUGAGAUUGAUGCCGUCCAGGGCUUAGAGAAGUUCAAUACAGACAUGUUCUUUCAACAGAAAUUCACCAGGAUGUGUUACAGCAGGAUUGCGAAUUACCAAAGUUGUUUAAUCACGGAUUGAUAAGAACAAUAGUUUCCCAGGAGACCAGACUACCACGCAUUUAGCUCCCAGACAUGCAACCCCCCCAACGCCAUUCUUUGUCAUUUUGUUUGCUUAUGGCCCUACUGUUUCUUAAAUAUACACAGAUCACUCACGCCUACACACAUAGAAACACACAGUGCCCAAACUUGAGGGAAACGUUUUAAAAAACCUGUGCUUUCCCUUUCUUUUCUCUUUUCCCUCUAACCCUCAGCUCCGCACAUGCACUCUUUUCUUCCUCAAAGUUCCUUGUUCAAAGUUAUAGCAAUGUGAGAUUAAAUUUACGCAGAAACCCCACCCAUCCCUCCUUCCCAGGGACUCUGCAUUUCAACACAGGCCGGGAGGCUGGGUGUAUGUAUGAUUGUGAGCCACACCCCGCAGCUGUGCACCUGGAACUGCUCCCAUUCCAGCAUGGCAGUGAACCCACACACCUGUUCACACCUGAGGCCUGCGCCUCUGGACCGCCACCUCCUCGCCUGCCUUUGUUUCUCAUCCAUCAAGUCAUGAGACUGACACAAGCUGAGAGAGCAGGCGGUUUAAAAAACAAAACAAAACAACUAUCCGCGUUUCAUCAGAGUAAUGUCAGCUUCUUAGAAAAGCUUUUGACAUGACAUGUCAUGACACCAAACAACAACACUCAUUCAAGAACUGAAGGUACAUCGCCAAUAUCUGUUUUUAUUUAUUGUUUAAUUUUCCAAGAAGGACACAUUGGUUUGAUUAUCAUCUUGUUCUGAUUUUAUUAGAGAAUAAAGCAGUGUUCCUGAGAAAACAAUAACGCCAAC
rnacentral:lncRNA from 15 species